rnacentral:lncRNA from 1 species
GAGCCCCAACCUUGUUUUUUUGUCGAACGACUCGCGCCCACGCGUGCGUGAAACACACGUGCCUGACGCAGCCCUUGGGCUCUUGGGCUGGCAAUCCUCGACGGGCCUGCUCCUCGGGCCUCGCCUGUCGCUCGGGCUUCCCUACGCUGGAGGUCAUCCCCCCAACAAUUUGCUACUGUUUGAUCCACUGGCCCCCAAGCAACCUCCCCUGCUGGAGGUGCUCUUAUCAUCCCCCAUUCUUGUAUGGUCACGGUUAAGUCACGUCAAUAUUUUAUAUUCUUAUUACUUUUUGUUUGAUUAUUUUUAUAAAAAAAUAAUAUAAAAUUUUGACGUAGUUUAACCGUGACCACACAAAACAUGAGGGGAUGGGGAGAGUAUAUAAAUGGGAGGGCAGACAAUCCACCUCCGUAUUUAUAGACAUGUGUCAAAUUAGAUCAAUUUUUCCGUAUACUAAAAAAACAGCGUCAUAUCAGUUCUACGGUCUAAUGAUUUUUUUUUUUACUUAAAAGUGAGAAGUCUUAAAUUCAAAUCUCGUAGAUGGCGAAUUCGAUGCCAAAUUAGGUUGCCCAUUAUGUGGCUUAGCCGAACUCUUCUCCUCUUAGUGUAAAAAAAGUAUAUCAAUGUACUCAAAAAAAAAAAAAAAAACAACGCCUCGUCAUAUUAUAAUUCAACUCAAUUUAUAAUAAGUGUACAUUUUUUUUUAAUGGUGGCUAGAGAGAAGCUAAAAUGCAUUUAUGAGUCUUUCUGACUUCUAGAAUGAUGAACUACAGUGACGAAAUCACUAGAUGAUCCUCCUUUUUUCUUUUCUUUUUCUUUUUUUAAUACAAGCACAAUAUAACAACUAUGUUGCUCAUACAUAUUAUAGCACAUAAAAAUAUACAUUGCGUGGCAAGUGUUUUAAAUAAACACAACCUAUUUGAGUCAAAUUAGGUCAUAACCUUUCAAUUUUCAACCAAUUUGAGUUCCAAAAUUUUUAAAAUAGGUCAAAAUUAAGCAUUCAAUCCCAAUGCCCAUCAAAAUUGUCAUGCGUUAGGCACAUGAAUGAAUUUUUCAGGCUAUCCAUUUUAUGUGCGGCCUCUAUGUGAUCUUUAUUAUUAAUUGAGGCAUGCCCAUAAAUUUAUUCGCAUGUCUACAAACUUAUUUAUUUAUUUAAGGGGAUUAAGUUUAUGGGCACAUAUCAAUUAUUGAUAGAGGCUAUACACAAAAUGAAUGCAUGAAAUGUGUACUCACCAAGGCAUCCACCAAGGUGAUGAAGACGAGGGUAACAAGGAGCAAUUUCAUCAUUUUUCUCUCGCCUCUCGAUGAGGAUCAAGAGAGAUGGUUUGGGUUUUAGGGACAAACGAAGCGGGAUGGGGAUGGUGCGGAUUUAUUAUUGGGAGCAUUUUGGUCGGUUAUAUUUAUUUACACUUAUAGUGAGAAACCUCAAGUUCAACUACAUUGAUGACAAGUUCAAUACUUUUGUAGACCUAUUUAACUGAAGAAUUAUAGGGAGGGAGAAAGGUGCAAUGGUAAGGAGAUAGAGAGAGUUUGGUGUAAUUAGAGAUGUGUGUUGUCUUACUCUAUUGUGUCUUUAUUUAUAUUAGUAAGAAGGUAAGUUUCUUACCCUUUAGGUAUUACAACUAAAUUAGGACACUAUCUAAAAGAUACUGUAGAAUUCUAAUAAGAUUUACACAACUACAUUCCUAACCUAACUAGGACUGCAAUAGAUAUUUAAUUAUUACAGUUUUACAAUUAUUUUCCACUCCAUUGGGCUGAAAUGAGGUCUAAUGGUUUAGAGCACUUCCACCCCUUUCCAAUCUCUUAAGGGAUAGUUGAUUUAGGGCUGGUUUGGUAUUGCUAUGCUUUGAAAAAAAGCUGCUUCUGCUGUGCUGUGAAAAUAAGUGGCUGUGAAAUAAAGUUGUAGAGUGUUUAGUAAACUUUUUUGUAAAAAUGCUUUUGAAAAAAAAAACAGCAUUAUAAUGUUUGGUAAACUUUUAUGUAAAACUAAUGUGAAAAAAAACUGGUUUUUCAAAGCUGGGUUUUGCAGCUUCUUGUUUUUGGCUUUUCUUUCACCCAAAAUUGUGAAAAAAAACUAAAGCUGAAUGUUUACCAAACACAAAAAAGUUCCCAGCUUUUUUUCAUACCAGUUUUUUUUUUAAUCACCUCAAUCCCAAACUGCACCUUAAUCCCCCCCUCCCAAACCAAAAAAAAACAACUCCAACCCGUUUCAAUCAACUGGGCUAUGGGGGAGCCCAAUUGCUCACCCAGUGAGUAAUCGAAUGGCCCAACCCCCAAGGGUAGUGAUGCAAGGUUGACAUUACGGUGACGUCAGCCACUAUUAAAAAUUAUAAAAAAAAUUAAAUUAAAUAAAAUACAAAUAUAAAAUAUAAAUAUAAAAAAUUAUAAUUUUUCUAUAAAUAUCUAACCGUGUUCUUCCACCUUACACCACAUUUUACCAUUUUCAAAUACUUUUAACAAAUCCUUGCACUAUUCAGUUCAGGGUGGCAAUGCACUUAAAUAAUUACUAUUUAGUAAAAGUAGUUACUGUUUACCUGAGGAUUAUAUUACCUAUUGCCAGGGAGCUUUUUAAAGAUGGAAAUGCUCUUAUGGGCUUAGUGGGCCGUCAGACCCAUAUAUGGUCUU